AGGACGAACGCUGGCGGCGUGCUUAACACAUGCAAGUCGAACGGAAAGUGCCCUUUCGGGGGUGACUCGAGUGGCGAACGGGUGAGUAACACGUGGGUGAUCUGCCCUGCACUUUGGGAUAAGCCUGGGAAACUGGGUCUAAUACCGAAUACACCCUGCUGGUCGCAUGGCCUGGUGGGGGAAAGCUUUUGCGGUGUGGGAUGGGCCCGCGGCCUAUCAGUCUUGUUGGGUGGGGUGAUGGCCUACCAAGGCGACGACGGGUAGCCGGCCUGAGGAGGGUCGUCCGGGCCACACUGGGACUGAGAUACGGCCCAGACUCCGUACGGGAGGCAGCAGGUGGGAAUAUUGCACAUAGGGCGCAAGCCUGAUGCAGCCGGACGCCGCGGUGGGAUCGGACCGGCCGUUCGGGUUUA
rnacentral:rRNA from 1 species